CCGGGGCCCUGCGACCUCUCGGGGUCCUGCUCUGAGGACGGGAAGGCCAGCGACAGGCAGAUGAGAGGGGGGCGCAGAGAGAGAAACAGAGAAGGUUGGAAGCACAAUUCUGGUGACAGGAGGGGCCAGUUCCUAGGCUGCUACUCGAGGUUUCCAGCUCCCAGCACCUCCUUCCCCCGCUGAAGGAGGCUGCAGAAGGUCCCGUUAUUCUUAGCAUUACUAUUACUUUAUGACCACGCACAACCUCUUGCGAAAGCCCCCGCGUCACAGCGGGAGGAGGCGAGGCCCGCAUCUCCGCUGCGCAGGCUCCCCCACGAUAAGCGAGCUGCCCGUCAAAUUUGUCUGGACUCCUGGAAGAGCCAAUAAAGAUAAGGCCUGGGUAUUUUUGGAAGCCAUUGGGUACGAACCCAAAACAAAACAAAACACAAACCUACUGCCCUUCUGAGAAUUUUUUCUCUUCGUCAAAUUACAGGAGGUCAGCAGAGACCUAUUGAUGAAAAUUGGCAACAGGAAUAUUCCCUGCAGGAGCCGAAAUGCCUGAAAUAACCCGCCUCUGGCAAAAAAAAUCCAAAAACACAGGAGGGGAAAGAUCCGCAGAUGGAGAGGCCAGAAAUACAAGCCGACUCAGCGGAGCUCAGUGACGUUGGGCUGCCUCGAUGCUUACAGAGUACUGAAAUUGCCUAUCCAACAAGCUUCCACUGCACGCCGCCUGCCUCUGUCUCUCUCUCCCUCCCUCCCUCUCUUCCUCCCCCCUCCCUCUCCCAUCCCACUCCCUCCCCCAACCACCUUUUCCAUUAGAUUUCCCGAACACUCAAAUCACAACACGAGUCUCAAACCCAGACCUCGAGAGCACCCCCCUCCUCUCCACCCCCUUCCCAACCUCCAUCCAUCUCGGCUUCUCUGAGCGCGGCUCGGUGGCUGCGAAAAAUCCUGCACAAAUCAUCGCAAACCCGCUCGCCUUCUGCCCGGAGAAAUAAUCUCGGUGUCGCGGGCGGUGCGGAGAACAGGAGCCUGAACGCACCAGGCGUGCACACACCCGCCGAGAGCCUCCUCUGCAGCCUGGCCCACGUUCUCUCUCUGCCGCUGACCUCAAGACAGGAGAGCUGCCUGACCUCGCCUGGCCCAGCCUGCCUUCGCUAGCCGCCCUGACAUCUCCCCCCUCCCCACUCAUCACCCCGACUCUCAGCGACUCCGGGUUGAAGGCAGGGUGAAGGCAUACCCCAAUAAAAUAAAGAGGCGACCAGGCGAUACGGACUAUCUCACCAGCCGCUGCACCUAUAGGACGUGGAGACGUCACGAG